GGGAAUGUAGCUCAAAUAGAGUAAUUUCCUUUUGGCAAGUAAUAUAGGUUCAAAUCCUAGCAUUCCCU
rnacentral:tRNA from 1 species